UACGGAGGUGGCAAGCGUUGUUCGGAAUUACUGGGCGUAAAGCGUGCGCAGGCGGUGACGUAAGACAGUUGUGAAAUCCCCGGGCUCAACCUGGGAACUGCAUCUGUGACUGCAUUGCUGGAGUGCGGCAGAGGGGGAUGGAAUUCCGCGUGUAGCAGUGAAAUGCGUAGAUAUGCGGAGGAACACCGAUGGUGAAGGCAAUCCCCUGGGCCUGCACUGACGCUCAUGCACGAAAGCGUGGGGAGCAAACAGG
rnacentral:rRNA from 1 species